rnacentral:rRNA from 1 species
UACGAAGGGGGCUAGCGUUGCUCGGAAUCACUGGGCGUAAAGGGUGCGUAGGCGGGUCUUUAAGUCUGGGGUGAAAUCCUGGAGCUCAACUCCAGAACUGCCUUUGAUACUGAGGAUCUUGAGUCCGGGAGAGGUGAGUGGAACUGCGAGUGUAGAGGUGAAAUUCGUAGAUAUUCGCAAGAACACCAGUGGCGAAGGCGGCGCACUGGCCCGGUACUGACGCUGAGGCACGAAAGCGUGGGGAGCAAACAGG